rnacentral:rRNA from 1 species
CCCUUAGAUGUUCUGGGCCGCACGCGCGCUACACUGACGAAGUCAGCGAGCAUGUCCUACGCCGACAGGUGCGGGGAAUCUUGUCAAACUUCGUCGUGAUGGGGAUUGAUUAUUGAAAUUCUUGAUCAUCAACGAGGAAUUCCUAGUAAGCGCAAGUCAGCAGCUUGCGUUGAUUACGUCCCUGCCCUUUGUACACACCGCCCGUCGCACCUACCGAUUGAAUGGUCCGGUGAAGCCUCCGGAUUGGCGCGCACCUCGGUGUCGCCGAGAAGUUGGCUAAACCUUACCAUUUAGAGGAAGGUGAANUCGUAACA